rnacentral:rRNA from 1 species
UACGAAGGGGGCUAGCGUUGCUCGGAAUCACUGGGCGUAAAGCGCACGUAGGCGGAUCUUUAAGUCGGCGGUGAAAUCCUGGAGCUCAACUCCAGAACUGCCUCCGAUACUGAAUGUCUUCGAGUCCGGGAGAGGUGAGUGGAACUGCGAGUGUAGAGGUGAAAUUUGUUAAUAUUAGAUAGAAUAUCAAGCGGCGUAAGCAACUAUCUGGGCCUUAACUGACAUUGAGGUGCGAAGGCGUGGGUAGCAAAUAGG